GAUUGCUUGGCGCAAUGGUAGCGCGUAGACCUCCUAUAAAGUUAAUCUUCUGGUUGACUUUUAGAAAGUCUAAGGUUGCGGGUUCGAGUCCCGUGGUGAUCG